UCCUUCUGUAGUUUGGUCAUUAUUUCCUCUACCUGCUCUACCCUACCUACAUUCUUUACCUUUCAGAUACAUAUGGUCAUCAAUACCUGAAAAGAUUUUGAGCUCACUCUCCUACAAAGAUAUGAAGAAGCAAGGAAGGCAGAACAAAAUAGGGGAGUUUCACGAGAAGGUUUCAAGAAGUUGGAGUUGGAAUGCCCAUCCACUGGCAAGUAGGAUUAUGUUGGAAUCCACAAGGAAAGCCUUGGAAGCAUCCGUAAAAAUAAAGGAGUUGUGGAGAAAGGUAAGUUUGGGGAAAGUGUUGAAUUUGAGGUACAGGAUAAAGAUUGAGGUGAAAAUAAUAGUCAAAUGAAUAUAUGGGACUGAAGAAAGGUUGAGUUGGAGAUUAGUAAUCCUGAUAUUUAGAGUCACAGAAGUAGAUAAGAAGGGAAUGAGUGGAGAGAGAGAAGAGAGACUUAGGAGAGGUCUGCAUUUGGAGGAUGUAGAACUAGUGGAUAAAAGGAGCUGACUUAGAGGUAGGAGGACCAUGGUAGUUUGGUGCUUUGGAGAAAAAAAAAUCCUUGGAGAAAGGAGAGGAUCUAGAAGAGUGGUCAGUAUUGUAAGAUCUGGCAGACAGGUUAAAAAGAGCUUGAAAUUAAUGAAAAGGAAAUCAUUAGUGACCACUGAGAGGUCAGUUCCAAUAGAGUUGUGGAUACAGAAACCAUACUGACAGGGACUGAAGAAUUAGGAAGCAUAGCAGUAGAAGCAAGUGAGUUUAGAUUAUUCUUUUUAGAAGUUUGGAAGUGAAAUGGGGUACAUAGUCUAGGCAGACCAGAGAAAGGAACAAGGUAGAAAGAAAAAGGUUGAAAGUGCAUGAGGAGAUGAUUGGGAAAAAAUGGGACCAAGGGCAUUAGUAAUAAGCUAGCUGUGGCAAGGAGGAGGAUAAAAUUUACCUUUUGAGAUAGGGGAAAUGAGAAUGUAGGGAAGAUAAGGUGGAUCUUCUCAGUAAAGUGGGAUGCAAUAAUAAUAGCUAACAUAUAUACAUGUAUAUAUCUAUUUCUACAUAUGUACACACAUAUACAGAGCUCUUCAAGGUUUGCAAUACACUUUAUCACUUUACUUCUUAC
rnacentral:lncRNA from 1 species